AUUGAACGCUGGCGGCAUGCUUUACACAUACAAGUCGAACGGUAACAGGCCUUCGGGUGCUGACGAGUGGCGAACGGGUGAGUAAUGCAUCGGAACGUACCCAGAGGUGGGGGAUAACGCAGCGAAAGCUGUGCUAAUACCGCAUGUGAUCUGAGGAUGAAAGCGGGGGACCGAGCAGCAAUGUUUGGCCUCGCGCCUUUGGAGCGGCCGAUGUCGGAUUAGCUAGUUGGUGGGGUAAAGGCCUACCAAGGCGACGAUCCGUAGCUGGUCUGAGAGGACGACCAGCCACACUGGGACUGAGACACGGCCCAGACUCCUACGGGAGGCAGCAGUGGGGAAUUUUGGACAAUGGGCGCGGGCCUGAUCCAGCAAUGCCGCGUGCGGGAAGAAGGCCUUCGGGUUGUAAACCGCUUUUGGCAGGAACGAAACGGUGUCCGCUAAUACCGGGCGCUAAUGACGGUACCUGCAGAAUAAGCACCGGCUAACUACGUG
rnacentral:rRNA from 1 species